GGCAGUGUUUCGAAUGCGAGCCCAGCACAAGCUACUGUGUAAACAGCUGCACACUGAAGAGGAGCUGGAGGGCCACGUCAACACUGAGCUGAAGCAACAAGAAUUAGAGCUGAGUGAGUUGGAAGUGGAGCUUGGCAAGUUCUCCCCACUCCGACAGGAGGUACAGAGAGAGGAGAAGCUCUUCCAGGUCCGUAAGGCUCAGAAGGCAGCAACAAGGCUGCAGCAGGAGAGGAAAGUCAGCCAGAACCGACAACUGAUGAUGAAGCAUCUCAGGGAUAAACAGUUAACCAUGCUAAAGGAAGAGGAGACUGAACGUCAGAAGAAUAUUGACGAGGCCCAAAGAAGCCGCAAGAUCACUGCCAAGUUCUUGAAACAGACCAUUAAAUGGUAAUCAGCCUUUAAGCCAAUAAACGGUAUCAGAGGAGAACA
rnacentral:lncRNA from 1 species